GAUGAACGCUGGCGGCGUGCCUAAUACAUGCAAGUCGAGCGAACGGACGAGAAGCUUGCUUCUCUGAUGUUAGCGGCGGACGGGUGAGUAACACGUGGAUAACCUACCUAUAAGACUGGGAUAACUUCGGGAAACCGGAGCUAAUACCGGAUAAUAUUUUGAACCGCAUGGUUCAAAAGUGAAAGACGGUCUUGCUGUCACUUAUAGAUGGAUCCGCGCUGCAUUAGCUAGUUGGUAAGGUAACGGCUUACCAAGGCAACGAUGCAUAGCCGACCUGAGAGGGUGAUCGGCCACACUGGAACUGAGACACGGUCCAGACUCCUAUGGGAGGCAGCAGUAGGGAAUCUUCCGCAAUGGGCGAAAGCCUGACGGAGCAACGCCGCGUGAGUGAUGAAGGUCUUCGGAUCGUAAAACUCUGUUAUUAGGGAAGAACAUAUGUGUAAGUAACUGUGCACAUCUUGACGGUACCUAAUCAGAAAGCCACGGCUAACUACGUGCCAGCAGCCGCGGUAAUACGUAGGUGGCAAGCGUUAUCCGGAAUUAUUGGGCGUAAAGCGCGCGUAGGCGGUUUUUUAAGUCUGAUGUGAAAGCCCACGGCUCAACCGUGGAGGGUCAUUGGAAACUGGAAAACUUGAGUGCAGAAGAGGAAAGUGGAAUUCCAUGUGUAGCGGUGAAAUGCGCAGAGAUAUGGAGGAACACCAGUGGCGAAGGCGACUUUCUGGUCUGUAACUGACGCUGAUGUGCGAAAGCGUGGGGACCAAACAGGAUUAGAUACCCUAGUAGUCCACGCCGUAAACGAUGAGUGCUAAGUGUUAGGGGGUUUCCGCCCCUUAGUGCUGCAGCUAACGCAUUAAGCACUCCGCCUGGGGAGUACGACCGCAAGGUUGAAACUCAAAGGAAUUGACGGGGACCCGCACAAGCGGUGGAGCAUGUGGUUUAAUUCGAAGCAACGCGAAGAACCUUACCAAAUCUUGACAUCCUUUGACAACUCUAGAGAUAGAGCUUUCCCCUUCGGGGGACAAAGUGACAGGUGGUGCAUGGUUGUCGUCAGCUCGUGUCGUGAGAUGUUGGGUUAAGUCCCGCAACGAGCGCAACCCUUAAGCUUAGUUGCCAUCAUUAAGUUGGGCACUCUAAGUUGACUGCCGGUGACAAACCGGAGGAAGGUGGGGAUGACGUCAAAUCAUCAUGCCCCUUAUGAUUUGGGCUACACACGUGCUACAAUGGACAAUACAAAGGGCAGCGAAACCGCGAGGUCAAGCAAAUCCCAUAAAGUUGUUCUCAGUUCGGAUUGUAGUCUGCAACUCGACUACAUGAAGCUGGAAUCGCUAGUAAUCGUAGAUCAGCAUGCUACGGUGAAUACGUUCCCGGGUCU
rnacentral:rRNA from 1 species